ACUCGAAAUACCAAGUAAUGGCCAUUGUGAAAUCAGCAGCCUGUCCUGUACAACCAUCCUUCCAUGACGCAUGCAAUAUACAUUUUAAUUUCAGGAAACAAAGCCUGCAUGAAACUCCAAAAAUGACAUUUCUGGAAAGCUGAAGAUCAACGUAAAAUGGCUAGGAAUGCAAAUAGGGCUAACAUCUUACAGCCCAUAUUUCAUUCCACUGAAAAGAAAAAGGGCAGAAAACGAGAGGAAAUUUUUAAGCAAAUCCAACAUCUGAGGAAGUACCAGCAGGACCAUCUCAUCACUCAAUGGCAUCAUAUCCACCAGUACAGAUGGUCCCUUCCCAACAACCAACACAACUGAAUCGAGAGCUAUUUGUGUACGCAUUUUAUAAUCAUGUCUCCCCUCUUCCAGGGGGGAGAUAUUGUUUUUGUACUUUCUGUCCAUUUGUCAGUCCGUCUGUCACAAAAUAUUGUGAACAUUUCUCCUCCUGUGUGGCUUAUCUGAUAGACUUGAAACUUUGCAUAAUGCUUCAUUGUCAUUUGUACCUAGAUGUGCAUAUUGGUGGGACGAGAGGAUCCAAUUAUUUUCCUACAUGUAGUGCCUCUACUAGGGGUGGAAAUUGUAAAAUAGCUUGUGAACACUUCUCUUAUAUGGCUUAAAGGAUAAUCUUGAAAUUUUGUACAAUACUUAUUAUCUGAUGUAAAUUGGUAUAAUUGCACAUGGAAAUACGUAUGUACGUAAGAAUUCUUUUAAUAUUUUAAAUUAUAUUGUUUUUCACAUAUUGCCAUUUUUUUUUUUAAAUAUUGAUGCAAUCAUAUCAAUAGGUCAUGAAUUGGAGCUCCACUUGUGCCAUGGCCGUAUCAAAUGUAGGGCAUACAUAUAUGAUUGAUUGAAUAUUGUUGAAUAUUGAGAA